rnacentral:lncRNA from 1 species
GGGUAGGCAAAAAUGUUAAAUUUACAGUUGAACAUACUUAAAAGUGAAGUAUGUAUACGAUCGAAAUCGGAGAGCUCGAUUUUGAGAACUUAACGGUACCUCGGGCUCCAGUUCGGACAACACGAAGUAAAGACCAAAUCUGGCUGGAAAAUGCAUAUAUAUCUCGAGGGAGCAAAUCGAAGACCCGUCAUGAUCUGCCUCGAGGACAGUACAAUUUCGAUGAUAUUAAAGAAAGAGCAGAAUUUCUUAAUGGCAUAAAUAUCUAAGGAUAAGAUUUGUACGAGUUGGUACAUGUCCAUACUAGGUUGUUAUACAGUUGUACCAAUAGAAUUCUUUACCACAAUUAGGAAUGUACUAUAUAGGGGUUUUCUCCUCCUAUAUAAAGGGGGC